rnacentral:rRNA from 1 species
GACGAACGCUGGCGGCGUGCCUAAUACAUGCAAGUCGAACGAGAGCGACCGGUGCUUGCACUGGUCAAUCUAGUGGCGAACGGGUGAGUAACACGUGGGUAACCUGCCCAUCAGAGGGGGAUAACAUCCGGAAACGGAUGCUAAAACCGCAUAGGUCUUCGAGCCGCAUGGCUUGAAGAGGAAAAGAGGCGCAAGCUUCUGCUGAUGGAUGGACCCGCGGUGCAUUAGCUAGUUGGUGAGGUAACGGCUCACCAAGGCCGUGAUGCAUAGCCGACCUGAGAGGGUGAUCGGCCACAUUGGGACUGAGACACGGCCCAAACUCCUACGUGAGGCAGCAGUAGGGAAUCUUCCGCAAUGGACGCAAGUCUGACGGAGCAACGCCGCGUGAGUGAAGAAGGUGUUCGGAUCGUAAAACUCUGUUGUUAGAGAAGAACAAGUGCUAGAGUAACUGUUAGCGCCUUGACGGUAUCUAAACAGAAAGCCACGGCUAACUACGUG